rnacentral:rRNA from 1 species
UACAUGGGGUGCAAACGUUGCUCGGAAUUACUGGGCGUAAAGCGUGCGCAGGCGGCCUUCCAAGUCAGGGGUGAAAGCCCAGAGCUCAACUCUGGAAUUGCCUUUGAGACUGUGAGGCUUGAGUACGGGAGAGGUGAGUGGAAUUCCCAGUGUAGAGGUGAAAUUCGUAGAUAUUGGGAAGAACACCGGUGGCGAAGGCGGCUCACUGGCCCGAAACUGACGCUCAUGCACGACAGCGUGGGGAUCAAACAGG